CUGAAGUGCCACCUGCACCAUGGCCGGACAUCUGCUCAUCCUCUUCAUCAGUGUCCAUUUUGUCGUCAAAGGACAAGUUCUUUUAGCUCCUACACUGACAGUGGAGCCAGAA